rnacentral:rRNA from 1 species
CCUACGGGUGGCUGCAGUGAGGAAUAUUGGUCAAUGGGCGCUAGCCUGAACCAGCCAAGUAGCGUGAAGGAUGACUGCCCUAUGGGUUGUAAACUUCUUUUAUAUGGGAAUAAAGUACAGUAUGUAUACUGCUUUGCAUGUACCUUAUGAAUAAGGAUCGGCUAACUCCGUGCCAGCAGCCGCGGUAAUACGGAGGAUGCGAGCGUUAACCGGGUUUAGUGGGGUUAAAGGGAUCGUAGGCGGGUUGUUAAGUCAGUUGUGAAAGUUGGCGGCUCAACCGUAAAAUUGCAGUUGAUACUGGCAUCCUUGAGUACAGUAGAGGUAUGCGGAAUUCGUGGUGUAGCGGUGAAAUGCUUAGAUAUCACGAAGAACUCCGAUUGCGAAGGCAGCCUGCUGGACCGUAACUGACGCUGAUGCUCGAAAGUGUGGGUAUCAAACAGGAUUAGAUACCCUUGUAGUC